AGGCCCUUUUUACCUAUGUCUCACAUCUCCCUAUUUUUAUGAAUUUACUUAUGUAAAUAAGCAGAAAGGGGAUUAGUGUAUAAAACCUUUCAAGCACAGCUAGUUUUGGACUGCUUUGAGCAAAUUAAACAUAUUCUACCAAACCCAACCUGGUUACACUUUAACUCUUGGUUAUCAACACCUAGUAAAUAUUUACCCAAAUGACAGUACAAGGUUUCUGCUGAAAAGGCAAAUGAAAGAAAUCAAUAGCAGCAAAAUAAGGAAAGGUUUAUUUUGACACAGUAUUCGGCCUUUUCAUAACAGACGAGUUGUAUUAAAAAUGAAACAGUUGAACAUUAGCUAACAUCUUCAAAGCCUUUUGUGUAUACCUUUUUUCCUGAUCAACUGCCUCCUCGAUGACUCCGAUGCACUCCCCAUCAUACACACCUCUUUGCUUCUUAGCUAUCCAUAUGAAGGGGUUGUUGCCAUUACACAAUUGAUCGUACAGUGGCAAGAAAUAUGCACCCAAAGAUUAGUCUUAGGGCUGAACUGCGUUGCAUUUAUGGUCUUGAUUGGAUAAGGUCACUACACUGUACACAAAUGCACAUUUAUGAAGCCACAUCAGUAUUUUUUUUUGCCUGCAAUGUCAUUGUUCCAUAUGGCAAACAUCCAGCUGCAGAGAUCAGACUUUGGGAGAACUGGAAGAUUUUGAUCAGGGAAGAACCCAGUUAAACCAGGGAUCCAAGAGAGGACUGAGGAUGCA